AGUGAACGCUGGCGGUAGGCCUAACACAUGCAAGUCGAACGGCAGCACAGUAAGAGCUUGCUCUUACGGGUGGCGAGUGGCGGACGGGUGAGGAAUACAUCGGAAUCUACUUUUUCGUGGGGGAUAACGUAGGGAAACUUACGCUAAUACCGCAUACGACCCACGGGUGAAAGCAGGGGAUCUUCGGACCUUGCGCGAUUGAAUGAGCCGAUGUCGGAUUAGCUAGUUGGCGGGGUAAAGGCCCACCAAGGCGACGAUCCGUAGCUGGUCUGAGAGGAUGAGCAGCCACACUGGAACUGAGACACGGUCCAGACUCCUACGGGAGGCAGCAGUGGGGAAUAUUGGACAAUGGGCGCAAGCCUGAUCCAGCCAUACCGCGUGGGUGAAGAAGGCCUUCGGGUUGUAAAGCCCUUUUGUUGGGAAAGAAAAGCAGCAGGUUAAUACCCCGCUGUUCUGACGGUACCCAAAGAAUAAGCACCGACUAACUUCG
rnacentral:rRNA from 1 species